rnacentral:rRNA from 1 species
UACGGAGGGUGCAAGCGUUAAUCGGAAUUACUGGGCGUAAAGCGCACGUAGGCGGAUAUUUAAGUCAGGGGUGAAAUCCCGGGGCUCAACCCCGGAACUGCCUUUGAUACUGGGUAUCUAGAGUCCGGAAGAGGUGAGUGGAAUUCCGAGUGUAGAGGUGAAAUUCGUAGAUAUUCGGAGGAACACCAGUGGCGAAGGCGGCUCACUGGUCCGGUACUGACGCUGAGGUGCGAAAGCGUGGGGAGCAAACAGG